rnacentral:rRNA from 1 species
ACGUAGGGUGCGAGCGUUAAUCGGAAUUACUGGGCGUAAAGCGUGCGCAGGCGGUCCGCUAAGACAGGUGUGAAAUCCCCGGUCUUAACCUGGGAAUUGCGCUUGUGACUGGCGGGCUGGAGUACGGCAGAGGGGGGUGGAAUUCCACGUGUAGAAGUGAAAUGCGUAGAGAUGUGGAGGAAAACCGAUGGCGAAGGCAGCCCCCUGGGCAGAUACUGACGCUCAUGCACGAAAGAGUGGGGAGCAAAAAG